AAUAAAUAGUAAGUGCUGGGUGAAAUUGAGACGCUGCAAGUGGCAGAGCGUCCCGCUCCUGCGGGCCUUGAGGAAGAACACGCUGGGCUGUAGACUGCCCGUACUGCCUCAGGCAGGCAGGAAGAGACUGCAGCCUACGACCUCAAGCAGUCUGGAGGACCCUCAGCUUCAGAAGAGAAGCUGGGCCUGCCAACACCUUGACUCCAGCGUGGUGAGACUGUCAGCAGAGGAUCCAGUGAAGGAGGCCAAAACACCAACUAGCUGUGUGGCAAGCCGCGCCCUCCCUGCCAGCGUGGAGCAUGCUGUCUGAUCCGUGACCCAAAGCACAUCUCUCCUCCCUGUUGAGAAGCUGCAGCUGUGACUAGACUUUCUUUCCAUGGGAACCAAUAAAACCUUCAAUCAGCAGCACGAAA